CAGGGUUCGGCCGGAUGGCCAGGUGCAAAGGGUCUUGCCGGACCUGACGGACUCCAGGUAGGGAUUAUUAUACGAAGUUUGAAGAUUUCGUUCAAAUCUUAAGUUUCUUCUUAGUGUUGAAUUAUAGGAAUUUGCCUAGCUUGCUUUGACUCUCAAUCUGGUUUGUCAUUUUUAAAUGACAAACCAGAUUGAGAGUCAAAGCAAGCUAGGCGAAUUCCUAUAUAAUUCAAAUUAUCAAGACAUAUCGCUUCUACCAUGUGUACUCAAUAAUAGUAGCUAGUUUCCAGAAGUGAAAUUAAAUAUUAGCAUUUUUGUUUUAUAUAUUUACGAGCAUAUAGUAAUUUCGUUUCGCUCCAUGGGAUUUUCAAUCAUUGCAAUUUAAGGUUGCAUGCACCCUUCGAAAUGUUGCUCGUUCCCAAGAAAAAAGUCAUUUAACUUUAACAACAAGUGCACUUACCCCGCUAGCUUAUAGAUAUAGAUAAAGGUCAAAUUAAAUCCAUGUUAAUUGUAUGGUGAACUUAAAACAAGAAUACUAAAUUUCUAACAAGGGGAAUGAAGACACAACUUGAGGGUAGUUUCAGCAUACAUGCAGAUUGUAGCCCUCUUUGGGACAAUUGUAGAAGCGGUCUUAGGUGAAAAAGCUUCAAAAAUUGCAGAAUCGCGCUGCGAGAGUUAUAACGGGGUCUACUUUUGAUAUUCGAUCUGUUGAUCUGCUGAAUAUGUUAGGUUGGGAAUCCUUAGACCAGAGACGCAACUAUAUACAAAAUCUAUUUACAUGUAUAAAAUAAUUAAUGACCAUGCCGCCCCAAAUUUAAAACAACUAUUUCGACGAUGCAGUGAAGGCGAUUCCCCUUAUGAUCUUAGGAAUCGUGAAACUGAUCUAGUAUUACCAAAACCAAAGAAAGAAUUUCUUAAAAGAAGUUUUAAAUACAAUGGAGCUAACCAUUGGAAUAAUCUGUCUAUUGAAGCAAAAAGCGCUGAUUCCGUUUAAUUAUUCAUUCAAGAGAAUUAUAAAAUCUACGGCGAGGUGAAGCUGACCUGUCCUCAAUAAUAUUUCAAUCUUUGUUUCGUUUAUAUAUUUUUGUCUACCUGUUAGUCUUUGUAUGCUUCAUGUAACUUUAUUUUGUACAUAUUAUUUGUGUAAUUAGUUAGUUAACACGCCCCUCAUGAAAAACAGCUGAUGUUGAUGAGGCUAUAGCGUGUCAAAAUAAAGUAUUAUGUAUGUAUGUAUGUAUGUAUGUAUGUAUGUAUGUACAAAUCUCUCCCCACACAAGACCCCAUUUUUGAAGUAACUUGUACUUUGUGCAGAAAAAUAAAAAGCAAAAUACGUUAAUUUUUUAGGGUUCGAAAGGAGAACCUGGUGCACCGGUUAGUUCAGUUUGACGUUUAUAAUUAUCAUUACAGACCUUGCGAUAUUGGGCAACAAUAGGGAGCUUUAUAGCAGCGACUUCGAGUACAAGUACGUGAUUUGAUCGCGUGCGAGGAAGUCGUAACUGUAGUCGUUCUCGUUUCUGUUCAACUGUUGCAUGC